rnacentral:lncRNA from 1 species
GCUAGUGUUAAUUUUUUUGCAUUAUAUAUUAUAUAUUAUUACCUACUGUAUAAAAGGUAAAAUUAAUAAUACAAAAAUAACAUUCUUUGAUAAAGUUUGCAAGCAUAUUUUUCAGAGAUAUUAUUAAUCUCAUCCUCUACCUGUAAUCCUUUCUCUUUAUCAGGUUUAUGCUCUAGCGUAUAUUAUAAUAAAUUAAAAUAGAAUGAUUGUAUAAAAGAAACUUUAGUUAUUAAUGUUUACAGUAAGUUAAAAUAAUACAGUGUCUCUAAAACAAGCUACUAGAAGUAGUAUAGAAUUAGCAAGUUUUACUUUAUGUGGUUCACAUAGAGGAAGAGGGUGGAUGAGAUAGUGGCCGUAGUCACGCAACAAAGCAGAAUAAUGCAAUAGUCAUGAUUUACUUUCCGUAGCAGAUCACCUAUUGCCUCUCGUGACUGAUUUCAUCAGCUGUGAGUGGCUUUUAAUUUGCAUGCAAAAUCCCGUCCACCUUCACCCAAGAGACUAGAGGCCUAUGCACCUAGCUAUUCUCUUAAGGCUGCAAAUUUU